UAGUCCUAGCCGUAAAUGGUGCACGCUUGCUGUGGGCGGAAUCGACCCCGUCCGUGGCGUAGCUAACGCGUUAAGCGUGCCGCCUGGGAAGUACGGUCGCAAGAUUAAAACUCAAAGAAAUUGACGGGGGCCUGCACAAGCGGUGGAGUAUGUGGCUUAAUUCGAUGCAACGCGAAGAACCUUACCUGGGCUAGAAUGCGACUGCAAUCUCAAGAGAUUGGGAGUUCUUCGGACAGGAAGCAAGGUGCUGCAUGGCUGUCGUCAGCUCGUGUCGUGAGAUGUUGGGUUAAGUCCCGUAACGAGCGCAACCCUUGUUCUUAGUUGCCAUCAAUUAAAGUUGGGCACUCUAAGGAGACUGCCGGUGAUAAACCGGAGGAAGGUGGGGACGGAUGUCAAGUCAUCAUGGCCCUUAUGAGUAGGGCGUACACACGUGCUACAAUGGCCAGUACAACGGGAAGCGAAGUCGUGAGGCGGAGCGGAUCCUUAAAAGCUGGUCUUAGUCCGGAGUUG
rnacentral:rRNA from 1 species